rnacentral:rRNA from 1 species
UCCGGAGGGGGCUAGCGUUGUUCGGAAUUACUGGGCGUAAAGCGCACGUAGGCGGACUGUUAAGUCAGGGGUGAAAUCCCAGAGCUCAACUCUGGAACUGCCUUUGAUACUGGGUGUCUUGAGUAUGGAAGAGGUGAGUGGAAUUCCGAGUGUAGAGGUGAAAUUCGUAGAUAUUCGGAGGAACACCAGUGGCGAAGGCGGCUCACUGGUCCAUUACUGACGCUGAGGUGCGAAAGCGUGGGGAGCAAACAGG